rnacentral:rRNA from 1 species
GACGCACCGAGCGAACGUUGUUCGGAAUCACUGGGCUUAAAGGGCGCGUAGGCGGACUGUCAAGUCUGGGGUGAAAGCCCGCGGCUCAACCGUGGAACUGCCUCAGAUACUGACGGCCUCGAGGGAGGUAGGGGCGAGCGGAACGGGUGGUGGAGCGGUGAAAUGCGUUGAUAUCACGCGGAACUCCGGUGGCGAAGGCGGCUCGCUGGCCCUUUUCUGACGCUGAGGCGCGAAAGCUAGGGGAGCAAACGGG